GGGCCUGUAGCUCAGUUGGGAGAGCGUUCGGUUCGCAUCCGAGAGGUCAAGGGUUCAAGUCCCUCCAGGUCCACCA
rnacentral:tRNA from 3 species